CCCGCUGAACUUAAGCAUAUCAAUAAGCGGAGGAAAAGAAACCAACAGGGAUUGCCCUAGUAACGGUGAGUGAAGCGGCAACAGCUCAAAUUUGAAAUCUGGCCUUCGGGUCCGAGUUGUAAUUUGUAGAGGAUGCUUUUGGUGAGGUACCUUCCGAGUUCCCUGGAACGGGACGCCAUAGAGGGUGAGAGCCCCGUCUGGUUGGAUACCGAUCCUCUGUAAAGCUCCUUCGACGAGUCGAGUAGUUUGGGAAUGCUGCUCUAAAUGGGAGGUAUAUGUCUUCUAAAGCUAAAUACUGGCCAGAGACCGAUAGCGCACAAGUAGAGUGAUCGAAAGAUGAAAAGCACUUUGGAAAGAGAGUUAAACAGUACGUGAAAUUGUUGAAAGGGAAGCGCUUGCAAUCAGACCUGCUUGCAGUUAUUCAUCUAAGCUUUCGGGUUUAGUGCAUUUUUCUGUAAGUCAGGCCAGUAUCAGUUCAGGCGGUUGGAUAAAGAAUUCAGGAAUGUAGCUCCUUUCGGGGAGUGUUAUAGCCUGUUUUGUAAUGCAACCAGCCUGGAUUGAGGACCGCGCUUCGGCUAGGAUACUGGCGUAAUGGUUGUAAGCGGCCCGUCUUGAAACACGG
rnacentral:rRNA from 1 species